AGGGCACCACCAGGAGUGGAGCCUGCGGCUUAAUUUGACUCAACACGGGAAAUCUCACCAGGCCCGGACACUGGAAGGAUUGACAGAUUGAGAGCUCUUUCUUGAUUCAGUGGGUGGUGGUGCAUGGCCGUUCUUAGUUGGUGGAGCGAUUUGUCUGGUUAAUUCCGAUAACGAACGAGACUCUAGCCUACUAAAUAGAUCGCCGGUUUACAAACAUCGGUGAGACUUCUUAGAGGGACAGGCGGCGAUUCAGCCGCACGAAACAGAGCAAUAACAGGUCUGUGAUGCCCUUAGAUGUCCGGGGCCGCACGCGCGCUACACUGAAGUGAUCAGCGUGCUUUUUAAGCCUACUCUGCCAAGAGUGGGAAACCCAAUGAACCUUCUUCGUGAUUGGGAUAGGAGAUUGUAAUUAUUCUCCUUGAACGAGGAAUUCCCAGUAAGCGCGAGUCAUAAGCUCGCGUUGAUUACGUCCCUGCCCUUUGUACACACCGCCCGUCGCUACUACCGAUUGAAUGUUUU
rnacentral:rRNA from 1 species